rnacentral:lncRNA from 1 species
GCCAGACCGGUGGCCAGGGAGGAGGCACGUGGCGCGGAGGGGAGCGACGCAUCUUCCUCAUCCUCGUUGCCAUCAGGGGAGGAGGAACCGGAGGAGGAGGAGCCUGGACCUGCUGCUCCCUCCACCAGGGAACGUGCUGGUGAGGGCCCCUCACGUCCCAGGGAGGAGGCCUGGGCCCAGCAGGAGACAGAGGUGCGCCCCCCCCCGCAGCCCGAGCGCCAGCGCCAGCGGCCGGCAACACCGGGACCCUCAAUGGCCAUGGUAGAGAUACCACCUGCCUUCCUGCACGCCCCUCCACCAGCCCUGGCAGCAUGGGCAGCGUUUACCCUGGGCCGGCACCAGGNGCAACCACCCAGCUGUGCCACCACGGCCACGCAGACCGGUCCCGCAACAAUUGAGCAGCUGCGGGACAUAAGGGACUGCCUGGACCAGCACACUGCUGCGCUGGAAUGUCUCAGGCAACGGCAGGAGCGGAUCCUGGCCCUCCUGGAGCGCCACUUCGGGGGAACUGCGGGCACAGGAGGGGGGUCUGCCUCCAGCUCCCCAGGACCAGCACGGGAUGGGCAGUAGGCACACUGCCUACCCAUGGACUAUGGAGCAGCAGUCCGCAUGUGGGGCAACAUGCGGCUGCUGAACACAAAAAUGGCAGGGCACUUUCUUUUAUUUUGCUGAAAAAAGCUUUUUAUUUUCCUGUACAUACGUAUUUAAUUUUCUGAAAUAAUCUUUGUAUUUUGGUGUACAUACUUAUUUAUUUUGCAGGGGAAAAGAUUCAGAUUAGAUGUUAGAAAUUUUUUUAUGACAGUAAGGAUGNUCAACCAGUGGACUAGGUUGCCGCAGGAGGUGGCGAGUUCCCCUUCGAUGGAGGUCUUCAAGCGGAGACUGGAUGGCCAUUUAUCGGGGAUGGUUUAGGUAAUCCUGCAUUGAGCAGGGGGUUGGACUUGAUGAUCCAGGAGGUCCCUUCCAACUCUAUGUUUCUAUGUUUGUAUUUUGGUGUACAUACUUAUUUAUUUUGCUGAACGNAGCUAUUUAUGUCUGUUCCAAAUAAAUUUCUGGCUUGUUA